AGUUGAUCUUGUUAAACCUCUAAUGAACUAUUUAUUUAUUUAUUUAUAUGCAGGCAUCAAGAUAUCGCACUGCUAAUUUGGCUCUGUAAUAUAUUCUUCAUUAUCUGCGCGCGCCAUCAUCUGUCGGUGCAGACAUUGAGGCGCGGAGCAAAGGUUCGGUUGUUUCUUCCCUUGAAUAUACUUGUCAGCAAAAUUAUAUUUGCAAUUAUUAUCACAACUACUAUCGUUAUUUCCAUUAUCACUGUUUCGUCAAAUCAUCUAAUUAUGGAAGAUCUGCUUUCACGUCCUGUUGUCUCAAGGCUUGAGCAUUGCAAUCUUUGCUAUACGGAACUUGAGAAAGUAAAACGCUCCCUUCCUGCACUAAUUUUUCUUAUGAAAAAUGCUCUACUUAAGCUCGUUGUGCAAAUCGUUAAUUCAGUUAACUUUGUUACAUAUUGCAGAAAAGGAGGCUCGAUUGCCAAGUCUGCACAUGAGCUGAAUCUAGCACUUCAAGAAGUUUCAUGACUAUGUCAUAUUGCUUUUAAGGGACUGCAGAUUUUGGAACUACGCGCUUCAAAGUGGUGGCAGAAACUGUAAAUUCAUGCUCAAUGGAAAUACUGACCGAUUAUUUAUCUUUAACUUAAAAAAGAAAAAACCUUAGCCGACGGACUACCUGCUUACUUACUGCCAUUCAACAGUUGCUUGGUCGGUGGAUGCGGAUCCGUCUCACUGGUUUUUUACUUAACUCGAAAUAUCGACUUGUUAUUGUUGAGUGAAGUUGAUGAUUGUGUUUUGAGACAAGAGUCUCAUAGUUUAGUGAGGUUUUGUACAAUCUUGAUUUCUUUCUAAAUUUUUAUGUAGUUCGUUUUAUCUUUUCCGAACAUUGAAAGUGUCGGCAUGUUACGGAAGAGCUACUACUCUCCAGUAGUUGAGACUUUGAUAGCAUAGGGUGAGUUCUGCUAUUGUGUAAUGCAAGAGAGUUUGGAGAAUGUCAUAAGUUGGCUAUAUUGCCAACAUUUGUUGUACCACCACUUGCCACUAAGAAUAUUUUUUUAAAUACUUG
rnacentral:lncRNA from 1 species